UUAAAGGGAGUAUAUAUGGUGUACAUGAAGUUUUGAUCUUCAUAGAAAAGAUAAAGUCUUUCCUUUGAG
rnacentral:tRNA from 1 species